CUGUACUAGAUGGGGAGAUAGCGGUGCCCUGUAACCCGCAAUCCGCUUUAGCGGGGUUGAAUUCCAUCCUGAGGUGAUUUUUCUGUGAUGCAGUCUUAUGCAAGUAGUGUUGAUUGAUGGGUCCCAAGCAAUGAGAGCUCAUGAAUCCCGUCAGAUUCGGAAGAAAGCAGCGGUAAGUGAUAACUUUCAUGUGACUUGGGGAUGCCUAUAGGGAGCCAACUACAUAGGCAACGGUUGGAGAAGGUUAUCGAAGGAUGGUGUACAG
rnacentral:SRP_RNA from 1 species